GGAAGUUUAACUUAUUUGCAUGAACAUGCCAAUCUGUAACUGGAGUUAGCAUAAAAAAAAGGGCAGCCCGGUGCAUCAGGGUCCGGGGAAGGGUCCGACCACUUUUGAUCUAUUGUAUGCAGCCUUUCCCUACAUUUCUGCAAGAGGCUGUUUCCAGGACUUGAACCGGUGACCUGAUGGUCACAAGGCAACAUCUUUAACCGGAGAUAGCAUAGUUGUAGCUUUAAUAAGUCAAACAAUAGACCAUGUCUUCUAUGUCAAUGAUCAAUGAGAUCAUAAUGUCCCAUAGCAUAAAUCUACACUGCGGCACAUCCCCGGUCAGUGAUAAAAAAGCGAGAAAAGUUUAGCCCGCGUCGCUCCCCAGGGGGCGGCUCGAGCAAACCCUAGUGUUGCCGCCGCCACCCCCCUACUCUCGCCCCUCCUCUCGCCGCCGCUAGGCAACGUCAGCGGGCAAAAGCCCGUGCGGCGGGAGCCCAUGUUGGCGCAGCGCGUCGGCCCAGGACGAGGCACUCCUGGCGGCGGGUGGACGCCGGGGCGGCGGCCUCGGGACCUGGCGGGAAUGUGCCGGUUGCGGCGGCUGCAAGGGCAGCGUGGCAGCCGGAUCUGGCGGCGCACGACAGUGGUCUUGCCGUGGCGGCUCCCUGGUUCUCAUCCUCAUCUGGCGUGGUGACCAUGGGGGCAGGGGCUGCGCGGCUCGGUGGUGGACAGGUGGAGCGGGAGCAAAGCGGGGCCUGGCGGUGCAGCUUGCAGGCACGGGCUGCGCAUGGCUGGCUCGGCCAGAUCUGCCCGUCUGGGCUGCAGGCGGCGCCGGGGCUCCUGUUGGAGUUGCUCGGCAGCGACCCCAGGCCGUGGUGGACUCACCUUCUUCUCUCCAAGACCGAGG
rnacentral:lncRNA from 1 species